rnacentral:rRNA from 1 species
GAAAUGUGAUACUUGGUGUGAAUUGCAGUAUCCCGUGAACCAUCAGGUCUUUGAACGCAAGUUAUGCCUGAAGCCAUUAGGCUGAGGGCACGUCUGCCUGGGUGUCAUGCAACAUCGCCACCGCCCCUCUCCGGGGCGCUACGGAGGAUCGCUUCCCAGGAGCC